rnacentral:rRNA from 2 species
GGGGAAUUUUCCGCAAUGGGCGAAAGCCUGACGGAGCAAUACCGCGUGAGGGAGGAAGGCUCUUGGGUUGUAAACCUCUUUUCUCAGGGAAUAAGAACUGAAGGUACCUGAGGAAUAAGCAUCGGCUAACUCCGUGCCAGCAGCCGCGGUAAUACGGAGGAUGCAAGCGUUAUCCGGAAUGAUUGGGCGUAAAGGGUCCGCAGGUGGCCUUGUAAGUCUGCUGUUAAAGAGUGAGGCUUAACCUCAUAAAAGCAGUGGAAACUACAAAGCUAGAGUGCGUCCGGGGUAGCAGGAAUUCCUGGUGUAGCGGUGAAAUGCGUAGAGAUCAGGAAGAACACCGGUGGCGAAAGCGUGCUACUAGGCCGUAACUGACACUGAGGGACGAAAGCUAGGGGAGCGAAUGGGAUUAGAUACCCCGGUAGUCCUAGCCGUAAACGAUGGAUACUAGGCGUGGCUUGUAUCGACCCGAGCCGUGCCGGAGCUAACGCGUUAAGUAUCCCGCCUGGGGAGUACGCACGCAAGUGUGAAACUCAAAGGAAUUGACGGGGGCCCGCACAAGCGGUGGAGUAUGUGGUUUAAUUCGAUGCAACGCGAAGAACCUUACCAAGACUUGACAUGUCGCGAAUCCUCUUGAAAGGGAGGAGUGCCUUCGGGAGCGCGAACACAGGUGGUGCAUGGCUGUCGUCAGCUCGUGUCGUGAGAUGUUGGGUUAAGUCCCGCAACGAGCGCAACCCUCGUUUUUAGUUGCCAGCAUUAAGUUGGGCACUCUAGAGAGACUGCCGGUGACAAACCGGAGGAAGGUGGGGAUGACGUCAAGUCAGCAUGCCCCUUACGUCUUGGGCUACACACGUACUACAAUGCUACGGACAAAGGGCAGCUACACAGCGAUGUGAUGCAAAUCUCAGAAACCGUAGCUCAGUUCAGAUCGAAGCUUGCAACUCAGCUUCGUGAAGGAGGAAUCGCUAGUAAUUGCAGGUCAGCAUACUGCAGUGAAUUCGUUCCCGGGCCUUGUACACACCGCCCGUCACACCAUGGAAGCUGGUCACGCCCGAAGUCAUUACCUCAACCCUUCGGGGAGGGGGAUGCCUAAGGUAGGACUGGUGACUGGGGUGAAGUCGUAACAAGGUAGCCGUACCGGAAGGUGUGGCUGGAUCACCUCCUU